GACAUUACGAAGGUUUUGGGUUUGUCCAAUUUGCUCAACUUGAGCAUGCAAAGGCAGCUCAAAGUUUAAAGAAAAAGCUUGAGAUUGUAGAUUGCAACAUCAAUGUUUCAUCCAUUACUGAACAUGUUGGAGUACAAGAUGCUUCUUAUUAUAGCUUGUGGUGACUGAAAAUUGGGAGGAAACAAUUGAUGAUAUCAUCAAUAAUUUUGAGAAACAACACCGACGGACGCUCUUGUACAACAUCUCCUUCAACUAAAAAGGUGUUGAUCUUAGAGCAUUAAUGGAACUACCAGUUGUUCGAUAUCCAAUUUGGCUAUUGAUAUGUUGGGAAUGCAUCACCGGUUUGUGUAUAAUCUUCCCAGUAAUGACAAGGGAAGAAAAAAUUGCUCAAAAACCUUUGCUGACUUGUAUUGUUUUUGAUAUGUUCCUGCUUCUCCGUUCUUAUAAACAUAGCAAAAGUAAUGUAACUUUAGUAGUGUUUACUCUUAGUUCUAUUUAAAUUUAAGAUGGUAACAUUUUGGAUUGGAGAGCAAAUUAACAAGAUAUAAUUUCAUUACUUGUUACCCUUUGUGCCCAAAGUUGGGCUGUGAAAAGAUUGAAAUUUUGAUAUUUUUCUA